GCAAUGCAGCUCUCUCCUCAGUCAAAGGGGGCUAAGCCUUACUGCCUGUUAUCUAUUAUCACCAAUAGUGCCGCCUAACAAACUACCGCAAAACACAGAGGAUUUGCAAACCAGCUAGCAAUGUACUCCUCAUGCUUCUUGGGUCCGCUGGCAGCUCAGCCUGAGCUGCGUCUCAUUCACAUGGCAGGUGGUGUUGGGGCCACGUGUCUCUCAUCCUCCUGCAGGCUAGCCCAGGCUGGCUCCCAUGGCAUCUGGGAAGUCCCAAGAGCAAGCAUCGAAGUGGACAAGGCCUCUUGAGGCCCAGUCUGGAAACAAGCACAGUGUCACUUGGCCACAUUCUACUGCCCAAAGCAGGUCACGGAACAGCGCAGAGACAAGGUGGAGCAACGGAUUCCCGCCCCUUUGUGGGAGGCUCUUCAUCAUGUGGCAAAGGUGUGAGGUCAUAGGGAGGAAUGAGGAACUGGAUCUAUUUCUGUAAUCAAUCUACUACAACCUGCCCAGGGGGUUAUUGCAAUGUGUAUGAGAUGCACACAGUAAGUGUUCAGUAAAGUGGAAUUCUGCUGGUUGUUGAGAAUGAGAAUAGUAAAAGGAAGCUGGUAGCAGAGAUAGGCAUGGACUCCUGCUGCUGAAUGUGCAGGCCACUGGCCUUCCCUCUUCGGAGACAGCGAUGUAGUGCAGAUGCCCAGCACAGGCCUUGGGGGGCGGUGGUGGACAUGGUCCAGAAGUGAGUUCCUGCACUACCUGCUUCUGUCUUCAGCUCACUUCCCCUCUCAUAGCCUCAGUGGCUGUGGUGCAGAAAGGAGGUGAUGCCACCCCACAGAGGCGGCUGAGGGUUAAAGCAACACAUGCCACAUGCCGAACAAAAAACGGCCUGGCGACGGUCGGUAUUUCUCUCUUUUGAAAUCCAAGCCCCAACUGUCUAGAGGAUUUUGUUUAGCUUUACUUCCUGUUGUUUAUAUUACAAGAAAAGUAGCUAAUUCCCUUUCAUUUUCCAAAUAUGAAAUUAUUCUCUCACACAGAAAUGCCUUUUCAAACUAGAUAUUUCUUCAUGGAGCUUAGGGUGUGUUCCCUGCCCUGCCAUCCUUCCCCCGCAGGCAGGACCAUACCAUGGGUCACAGGUACCAACCCACAGCAGGUGACUCAUGGCUCAUGCUCCUUCUCCAAUAGUCACUACUAUUUUUUAAUUAAAUUGUUAUUAAACAAGUAAUUAUACACUCUCCUUUUGAACAACCAGAACAUUACAGAUAAGGUAAAGUCCCCCUGUUCACCACCCCAAUUUCAAAUACCUUCCCCAGCCCCCACCCACCACCAAUGCCGUCCUCACCUUCCCCAAAAACACCACAAAUAUCAGCACAUGGUAUUCUUCC
rnacentral:lncRNA from 1 species